rnacentral:sRNA from 1 species
AUUUCAGUGUGUUCGUUGAAACUAACCGAUUAUAUUUCUCUAUAAUGUUACUCAUCAAGAUCGAAAGCCUCCUGAUUGCAUCACUGCUGAUUUUUGUUUCUCCUUAUUUAUUACUACAAAAAUAUCAAAUCAGGCGCAGAUGAUUUGCUGUAAUAUAGCCACUAACUGCUUCUCUUUCUUUUGAUCGUCUUACGCAAAAUGGAAAAAUAAGAAAC